rnacentral:rRNA from 1 species
GACAUUAGACGAAUCAUCUGGAAAGAUGAAUCAAAGAAGGUAAUAAUCCUGUAGUCGAAAAUGUUGUCUCUCUUGAGUGGAUCCUGAGUACGACGGAGCACGUGAAAUUCCGUCGGAAUCUGGGAGGACCAUCUCCUAAGGCUAAAUACUCUCUAGUGACCGAUAGUGAACCAGUACCGUGAGGGAAAGGUGAAAAGCACCCCGGAAGGGGAGUGAAAUAGAACCUGAAACCGUGUGCUUACAAGUAGUCAGAGCCCGUUAAUGGGUGAUGGCGUGCCUUUUGUAGAAUGAACCGGCGAGUUACGAUUUGAUGCAAGGUUAAGCAGUAAAUGUGGAGCCGUAGCGAAAGCGAGUCUGAAUAGGGCGUUUAGUAUUUGGUCGUAGACCCGAAACCAGGUGAUCUACCCUUGGUCAGGUUGAAGUUCAGGUAACACUGAAUGGAGGACCGAACCGACUUACGUUGAAAAGUGAGCGGAUGAACUGAGGGUAGCGGAGAAAUUCCAAUCGAACCUGGAGAUAGCUGGUUCUCUCCGAAAUAGCUUUAGGGCUAGCCUCAAGUGAUGAUUAUUGGAGGUAGAGCACUGUUUGGACGAGGGGCCCCUCUCGGGUUACCGAAUUCAGACAAACUCCGAAUGCCAAUUAAUUUAACUUGGGAGUCAGAACAUGGGUGAUAAGGUCCGUGUUCGAAAGGGAAACAGCCCAGACCACCAGCUAAGGUCCCAAAAUAUAUGUUAAGUGGAAAAGGAUGUGGCGUUGCCCAGACAACUAGGAUGUUGGCUUAGAAGCAGCCAUCAUUUAAAGAGUGCGUAAUAGCUCACUAGUCGAGUGACACUGCGCCGAAAAUGUACCGGGGCUAAACAUAUUACCGAAGCUGUGGAUUGUCCUUUGGACAAUGGUAGGAGAGCGUUCUAAGGGCGUUGAAGCAUGAUCGUAAGGACAUGUGGAGCGCUUAGAAGUGAGAAUGCCGGUGUGAGUAGCGAAAGACGGGUGAGAAUCCCGUCCACCGAUUGACUAAGGUUUCCAGAGGAAGGCUCGUCCGCUCUGGGUUAGUCGGGUCCUAAGCUGAGGCCGACAGGCGUAGGCGAUGGAUAACAGGUUGAUAUUCCUGUACCACCUAUAAUCGUUUUAAUCGAUGGGGGGACGCAGUAGGAU